rnacentral:rRNA from 1 species
CCUACGGGUGGCAGCAGUGAGGAAUAUUGGUCAAUGGGCGUAAGCCUGAACCAGCCAAGUCGCGUGAGGGAUGAAGGUUCUAUGGAUCGUAAAACUCUUUUAUAAGGGAAUAAAGUGUGGGACGUGUGCUGGUUGGUAUGUACCUUAUGAAUAAGGAUCGGCUAACUCCGUGCCAGCAUCCGUGGUAAUACGGAAGAGACGAGCGUUCUCCGGAUAGAUUGGGUUUGAAAGGUGCGGAGGCGGAAUGCAAUGACAGCGGUACAAUCGCGGCGCUCAACCUCGCUCCGCCGUUUAAACUGGCGUUCCUGAGUGGGCGAGAAGUAUGCGGAAUGCGUGGUGUAGCGGUGAAAUGCAUAGAUAUCACGCAGAACUCCGAUUGCGAAGGCAGCAUACCGGCGCCCAACUGACGCUGAAGCACG